AUUGAACGCUGGCGGCAGGCCUAACACAUGCAAGUCGAACGGUAGCACAGAGAGCUUGCUCUCGGGUGACGAGUGGCGGACGGGUGAGUAAUGUCUGGGAAACUGCCCGAGGGAGGGGGAUAACUACUGGAAACGGUAGCUAAUACCGCAUAACGUCGCAAGACCAAAGUGGGGGACCUUCGGGCCUCACACCAUCGGAUGUGCCCAGCUGGGAUUAGCUAGUAGGUGGGGUAAUGGCUCACCUAGGCGACGAUCCCUAGCUGGGCUGAGAGGAUGACCAGCCACACUGGAACUGAGACACGGUCCAGACUCCUACGGGAGGCAGCAGUGGGGAAUAUUGCACAAUGGGCGCAAGCCUGAUGCAGCCAUGCCGCGUGUAUGAAGAAGGCCUUCGGGUUGUAAAGUACUUUCAGCGGGGAGGAAGGCGGUGAAGUUAAUAACUUCACCGAUUGACGUUACCCGCAGAAGAAGCACCGGCUAACUCCGUGCCAGCCGCCGCGGUAA
rnacentral:rRNA from 1 species